rnacentral:rRNA from 1 species
GUAGGGUGCAAGCGUUAAUCGGAAUUACUGGGCGUAAAGCGUGCGCAGGCGGUUUUAUAAGUCUGAUGUGAAAUCCCCGGGCUCAACCUGGGAACUGCAUUGGAGACUGUAAGGCUAGAGUGUGUCAGAGGGGGGUAGAAUUCCACGUGUAGCAGUGAAAUGCGUAGAUAUGUGGAGGAAUACCGAUGGCGAAGGCAGCCCCCUGGGAUAACACUGACGCUCAUGCACGAAAGCGUGGGGAGCAAACAGGAUUAGAUACCCUGGUAGUCCACGCCCUAAACGAUGUCUACUAGUUGUCGGGUCUUAAUUGACUUGGUAACGCAGCUAACGCGUGAAGUAGACCGCCUGGGGAGUACGGUCGCAAGAUUAAA